GGGUUGUGAGGUUAAGCGACUAAGCGUACACGGUGGAUGCCCUGGCAGUCAGAGGCGAUGAAGGGCNNNCUAAUCUGCGAUAAGCGCCGGUAAGGUGAUAUGAACCGUUAUAACCGGCGAUACCCGAAUGGGGAAACCCAGUGUGAUUCGUCACACUAUCAUUAACUGAAUCCAUAGGUUAAUGAGGCGAACCGGGGGAACUGAAACAUCUAAGUACCCCGAGGAAAAGAAAUCAACCGAGAUUCCCCCAGUAGCGGCGAGCGAACGGGGAGGAGCCCAGAGCCUGAAUCAGCAUGUGUGUUAGUGGAAGCGUCUGGAAAGGCGCGCGAUACAGGGUGACAGCCCCGUACACAAAAGCGCAUGUGCUGUGAGCUCGAUGAGUAGGGCGGGACACGUGGUAUCCUGUCUGAAUAUGGGGGGACCAUCCUCCAAGGCUAAAUACUCCUGACUGACCGAUAGUGAACCAGUACCGUGAGGGAAAGGCGAAAAGAACCCCGGCGAGGGGAGUGAAAAAGAACCUGAAACCGUGUACGUACAAGCAGUGGGAGCACCCUUUGGGUGUGACUGCGUACCUUUUGUAUAAUGGGUCAGCGACUUAUAUUCUGUAGCAAGGUUAACCGAAUAGGGGAGCCGGAGGGAAACCGAGUCUUAAUUGGGCGUUAAGUUGCAGGGUAUAGACCCGAAACCCGGUGAUCUAGCCAUGGGCAGGUUGAAGGUUGGGUAACACUAACUGGAGGACCGAACCGACUAAUGUUGAAAAAUUAGCGGAUGACCUGUGGCUGGGGGUGAAAGGCCAAUCAAACCGGGAGAUAGCUGGUUCUCCCCGAAAGCUAUUUAGGUAGCGCCUCGUGAAUUCAUCUCCGGGGGUAGAGCACUGUUUCGGCUAGGGGGCCAUCCCGGCUUACCAACCCGAUGCAAACUGCGAAUACCGGAGAAUGUUAUCACGGGAGACACACGGCGGGUGCUAACGUCCGUCGUGAAGAGGGAAACAACCCAGACCGCCAGCUAAGGUCCCAAAGUCAUGGUUAAGUGGGAAACGAUGUGGGAAGGCCCAGACAGCCAGGAUGUUGGCUUAGAAGCAGCCAUCAUUUAAAGAAAGCGUAAUAGCUCACUGGUCGAGUCGGCCUGCGCGGAAGAUGUAACGGGGCUAAACCAUGCACCGAAGCUGCGGCAGCGACACUGUGUGUUGUUGGGUAGGGGAGCGUUCUGUAAGCCUGCGAAGGUGGCCUGUGAGGGUUGCUGGAGGUAUCAGAAGUGCGAAUGCUGACAUAAGUAACGAUAAAGCGGGUGAAAAGCCCGCUCGCCGGAAGACCAAGGGUUCCUGUCCAACGUUAAUCGGGGCAGGGUGAGUCGACCCCUAAGGCGAGGCCGAAAGGCGUAGUCGAUGGGAAACGGGUUAAUAUUCCCGUACUUGGUGUUACUGCGAAGGGGGGACGGAGAAGGCUAUGUUGGCCGGGCGACGGUUGUCCCGGUUUAAGCGUGUAGGUGUGUGUUCCAGGUAAAUCCGGUUCACUUUAACACUGAGGCGUGACGACGAGGCACUACGGUGCUGAAGCAACAAAUGCCCUGCUUCCAGGAAAAGCCUCUAAGCAUCAGGUAACAUCAAAUCGUACCCCAAACCGACACAGGUGGUCAGGUAGAGAAUACCAAGGCGCUUGAGAGAACUCGGGUGAAGGAACUAGGCAAAAUGGUGCCGUAACUUCGGGAGAAGGCACGCUGACACGUAGGUGAAGUGAUUUACUCAUGGAGCUGAAGUCAGUCGAAGAUACCAGCUGGCUGCAACUGUUUAUUAAAAACACAGCACUGUGCAAACACGAAAGUGGACGUAUACGGUGUGACGCCUGCCCGGUGCCGGAAGGUUAAUUGAUGGGGUCAGCGCAAGCGAAGCUCCUGAUCGAAGCCCCGGUAAACGGCGGCCGUAACUAUAACGGUCCUAAGGUAGCGAAAUUCCUUGUCGGGUAAGUUCCGACCUGCACGAAUGGCGUAAUGAUGGCCAGGCUGUCUCCACCCGAGACUCAGUGAAAUUGAACUCGCUGUGAAGAUGCAGUGUACCCGCGGCAAGACGGAAAGACCCCGUGAACCUUUACUAUAGCUUGACACUGAACAUUGAGCCUUGAUGUGUAGGAUAGGUGGGAGGCUUUGAAGUGUGGACGCCAGUCUGCAUGGAGCCGACCUUGAAAUACCACCCUUUAAUGUUUGAUGUUCUAACGUGGACCCGUUACCCGGGUUGCGGACAGUGUCUGGUGGGUAGUUUGACUGGGGCGGUCUCCUCCUAAAGAGUAACGGAGGAGCACGAAGGUUGGCUAAUCCUGGUCGGACAUCAGGAGGUUAGUGCAAUGGCAUAAGCCAGCUUGACUGCGAGCGUGACGGCGCGAGCAGGUGCGAAAGCAGGUCAUAGUGAUCCGGUGGUUCUGAAUGGAAGGGCCAUCGCUCAACGGAUAAAAGGUACUCCGGGGAUAACAGGCUGAUACCGCCCAAGAGUUCAUAUCGACGGCGGUGUUUGGCACCUCGAUGUCGGCUCAUCACAUCCUGGGGCUGAAGUAGGUCCCAAGGGUAUGGCUGUUCGCCAUUUAAAGUGGUACGCGAGCUGGGUUUAGAACGUCGUGAGACAGUUCGGUCCCUAUCUGCCGUGGGCGCUGGAGAACUGAGGGGGGCUGCUCCUAGUACGAGAGGACCGGAGUGGACGCAUCACUGGUGUUCGGGUUGUCAUGCCAAUGGCACUGCCCGGUAGCUAAAUGCGGAAGAGAUAAGUGCUGAAAGCAUCUAAGCACGAAACUUGCCCCGAGAUGAGUUCUCCCUGAGACUUAAAGUCUCCUGAAGGAACGUUGAAGACGACGACGUUGAUAGGCCGGGUGUGUAAGCGCAGCGAUGCGUUGAGCUAACCGGUACUAAUGAACCGUGAGGCUUAACCUUACAACGCCGAAG
rnacentral:rRNA from 1 species